rnacentral:rRNA from 1 species
AGUGGCGCACGGGUGAGUAACACGUGACUAACCUACCCUGGAGUGGGGGAUAACUGAGGGAAACCUUAGCUAAUACCGCAUAAUACCCACGGGUCAAAGGAGCAAUUCGCUCUGGGAGGGGGUCGCGGCCGAUUAGUUAGUUGGCGGGGUAACGGCCCACCAAGACGAUGAUCGGUAUCCGGCCUGAGAGGGCGCACGGACACACUGGAACUGAAACACGGUCCAGACUCCUACGGGAGGCAGCAGUGGGGAAUUUUGCGCAAUGGGGGAAACCCUGACGCAGCAACGCCGCGUGGAGGAUGAAGUCCUUCGGGACGUAAACUCCUUUCGAUCGGGACGAUUAUGACGGUACCGGAAGAAGAAGCCCCGGCUAACUUCGUGCCAGCAGCCGCGGUAAUACGAGGGGGGCGAGCGUUGUUCGGAAUUAUUGGGCGUAAAGGGUGCGUAGGCGGUUUGGUAAGUCUUGUGUGAAAUCUAUGGGCUCAACUCAUAGUCUGCACGAGAAACUGCCGGGCUUGAGUGUGGGAGAGGUGAGUGGAAUUCCUGGUGUAGCGGUGAAAUGCGUAGAUAUCAGGAGGAACACCUGUGGCGAAAGCGGCUCACUGGACCACAACUGACGCUGAUGCACGAAAGCUAGGGGAGCAAACAGGAUUAGAUACCCUGGUAGUCCUAGCCCUAAACGAUGACUGCUUGGUGUGACGGGUACCCAAUCCCGCCGUGCCGUAGCUAACGCGUUAAGCAGUCCGCCUGGGGAGUACGGCCGCAAGGUUGAAACUCAAAGGAAUUGACGGGGGCCCGCACAAGCGGUGGAGCAUGUGGUUUAAUUCGA